GUCUGGCGAUCUUUUAGCAGGCAAACAAACUAUGAAGAUAUAAUAUCCAAGAAUCAUUUUGGGGAAAAGCAUAACAUGUGUCCAUUGUAGGACAAGGAAAAUAGUUACAAGCCCCUCAUGGAGUGUACACCAUUGUAACCAAAAGAAAAAAAAGAAAGAAAUACACCACUUACAAGAACCAAAAUUCCAAACUCCAUUUUCAUUUCCCUUGUAAAAAUUCAAUUAUGUCAAAAACUCAUUCAAAUUCAUAUAGCAAUCAUAAAAAGAGUUUUAAAUU
rnacentral:misc_RNA from 1 species